GUUAGCAUGCUUUCGGCUGGUAAUUAAGCAGCGCAAGCCAUCUGCACAUUGAAAGCUCUACAUUUUUCAUAUCUCGUGGGGGCAUCGAGUAAGUACAGGGCCAGCAAUCUGUGUACUUCAUUCCCUCCCCCAAAGCAGAAAAGCCAGGCUUCACCCACAGGUGUUCACUGGACCACCACUCCUUGGCUGACAUUCCUGGGAGGGCUGAUUUGGUUUGUUGGGUUUUUGGUAGAAAGGCAAGGAAGGAGGCCAUGUGGCCCCCUUGAGUGACAGCCUUGGUUUUCAACCAGGGGUGAUUUUGCCCCCUCUCUCUUUCAGGUGACAUUUGGCAAGGUCUGCAGACAUUUUUGGUUGUCAUAACUGGUGAGGGAAGGGGAUGUUUUUGCUAACUAGCAGCAAUUUUCUAGACUGUAGCACAUCCCCUGUACCCUCCACCUUGUCCUGAAACAGAAGCCUGUCCAAUCCCUGGGCCACUUGAAAUGCCUUGUCACCUUUCUCAAAGUGCAUCAACCCGAGCUACACAUUCCUUACAAAGCCAAGAAUACAGCUCGCUUGUAGGAUUGUCCAAGGGAACAGAAAGUAAGAAGCUAUGAACAACAACAAAUGAUGUCCAAGGCAGAAGUUUCUCAAUGCUCAGGCUAGAGAUGGCAGCUCCUCUGGCUCACCUGUUGU